rnacentral:rRNA from 1 species
GACGAACGCUGGCGGCGUGCUUAACACAUGCAAGUCGAACGGAAAGGCCCUGCUUGCAGGGUACUCGAGUGGCGAACGGGUGAGUAACACGUGGGUGAUCUGCCCUGCACUUCGGGAUAAGCCUGGGAAACUGGGUCUAAUACCGGAUAGGAGCCAUUUUUAGUGUGAUGGUUGGAAAGUUUUUUCGGUGUAGGAUGAGCUCGCGGCCUAUCAGCUUGUUGGUGGGGUAAUGGCCUACCAAGGCGGCGACGGGUAGCCGGCCUGAGAGGGUGGACGGCCACAUUGGGACUGAGAGACGGCCCAGACUCCUACGGGAGGCAGCAGUGGGGAAUAUUGCACAAUGGGCGCAAGCCUGAUGCAGAGACGCCGCGUGGGGGAGGACGGCCUUCGGGUUGUAAACUCCUUUCGCUAGGGACGAAGCUUUUUGUGACGGUACCUAGAUAAGAAGCACCGGCUAACUACGUG